rnacentral:rRNA from 1 species
AAUACCGGAUGCUCCGCUCCAUCGCAUGGUGGGGUGGGAAAUGCUUUUGCGGCAUGGGAUGGGGUCGCGUCCUAUCAGCUUGUUGGCGGGGUGAUGGCCCACCAAGGCGUUGACGGGUAGCCGGCCUGAGAGGGUGACCGGCCACAUUGGGACUGAGAUACGGCCCAGACUCCUACGGGAGGCAGCAGUGGGGAAUAUUGCACAAUGGGCGCAAGCCUGAUGCAGCGACGCCGCGUGCGGGAUGGAGGCCUUCGGGUUGUAAACCGCUUUUGUUCAAGGGCAAGGCACGGUUUCGGCCGUGUUGAGUGGAUUGUUCGAAUAAGCACCGGCUAACUACGUGCCAGCAGCCGCGGUAAUACGUAGGGUGCGAGCGUUAUCCGGAUUUAUUGGGCGUAAAGGGCUCGUAGGCGGUUCGUCGCGUCCGGUGUGAAAGUCCAUCGCCUAACGGUGGAUCUGCGCCGGGUACGGGCGGGCUGGAGUGCGGUAGGGGAGACUGGAAUUCCCGGUGUAACGCUGGAAUGUGUAGAUAUCGGAAAAG